rnacentral:tRNA from 1 species
UAGCCCAGUUGGAAGAGCAUUGGGCUAGUAUUCCAAAGGUCGUAGGUUCGAAUCCCAC